AGAACAUGCUAAAGAAAAGGAAGGAAAGAAUCCUACAUCUUUAAAAGAGAAAGAUUCUCUGAAAGGGAAAAACCCCAAGAAUCCAGAAGGGUCAAAAGAAAAAGAGACUGGUAAAAGAAAAGAUGUGAAGCCUCCAGCAGCCUUAAAGGAAAAGGACUCUUCAAAAGGAAAAGAAGUGAAGGCUUCCACUGUGACUAAGGAAAAAGGUAA